rnacentral:tRNA from 1 species
GUUAAGAGUAGCUUAAUAUUAAAGCGGAGCACUGAAGCUGCUCAAAUGGUUUUAGAACCCCUUGACA